GGUAGCAAGGCUAAUCUGGCUGUGACAUCUGUACCACACUGGUCUCCAGGGUUGAUUUGGGUGAUCUGGCUGGCUAGGUGAAUGUCUCCUCCCUGCCAAACCAUCAUUGUUUGUAGCCCUGCUGCAGCUGCAUGCUCGGUAGCAGAGAAUGCCUGCCCCUGCAGAGCACGACCCUUUCCUCAGUCUCUAAGAGUACAUGAGUCAAGGGUGUAACAGCUGGAAGGUCCAAACAAGCUCUCAGGAAAGUGGCUUCCACCUUAGUGGGCCCUUGGGGAAGUGGGUCCUAAAUCAGUUAAGAUCCUUGAACUAAGUUACAGCCUUCUGGGAAAGGGACAGUGCUCAGAUGAAAUAGAACACUAUGUACUGUUUC
rnacentral:snRNA from 1 species